rnacentral:tRNA from 1 species
GCGGGUAUAGUUCCGUAGCAGAGCACAUGCUUAGCACGUAUGAGGUCCUGGGUUCAAUUCCCAGUACUUCCA